rnacentral:rRNA from 1 species
CUUGCUAGAAGAUGACGAGUGGCGGACGGGUGAGUAAUGCUUGGGAACUUGCCUUUGCGAGGGGGAUAACAGUUGGAAACGACUGCUAAUACCGCAUAAYGUCUACGGACCAAACGGGGCUUAGGCUCCGGCGCAAAGAGAGGCCCAAGUGAGAUUAGCUAGUUGGUAAGGUAAUGGCUUACCAAGGCAACGAUCUCUAGCUGUUCUGAGAGGAAGAUCAGCCACACUGGAACUGAGACACGGUCCAGACUCCUACGGGAGGCAGCAGUGGGGAAUAUUGCACAAUGGGGGAAACCCUGAUGCAGCCAUGCCGCGUGUGUGAAGAAGGCCUUCGGGUUGUAAAGCACUUUCAGUUGUGAGGAAAAGUUAGUAGUUAAUACCUGCUAGCCGUGACGUUAACAACAGAAGAAGCACCGGCUAACUCCGUGCCAGCAGCCGCGGUAAUACGGAGGGUGCGAGCGUUAAUCGGAAUUACUGGGCGUAAAGCGCACGCAGGCGGUUUGUUAAGCUAGAUGUGAAAGCCCCGGGCUCAACCUGGGAUAGUCAUUUAGAACUGGCAGACUAGAGUCUUGGAGAGGGGAGUGGAAUUCCAGGUGUAGCGGUGAAAUGCGUAGAUAUCUGGAGGAACAUCAGUGGCGAAGGCGACUCCCUGGCCAAAGACUGACGCUCAUGUGCGAAAGUGUGGGUAGCGAACAGGAUUAGAUACCCUGGUAGUCCACACCGUAAACGCUGUCUACUAGCUGUUUGUGACUUUAAGUCGUGAGUAGCGAAGCUAACGCGCUAAGUAGACCGCCUGGGGAGUACGG